rnacentral:lncRNA from 1 species
AAAGGAAGAUGUUCUACUGUGUCUGCCUGGAGAACAUGGGACCCAGCUUGUCAGGAAGAGUCCAUAUUCUCCAGCCAAGUGGGUGAGUUCCUGGAAGCAUCUCAUCUAGAGCAGCUUUGAACUAUCACACGUAUCAUUCAUAACCAUUCUUCUUUCUGAGAGCUGAAGUCUCAUCUCUCCCAGAAGACUGAGGCCCCUCGCAGGCUGGAACUCCAACUCGUUUGUCUUCAUUUUCCCCAUCAGCGCCUAACAUGAUCCCCAAGGUGACCAGUGUUCCAGACUCCGGGAACCUACUGCCUCUUCUCACACAGAAGCAGCAGACCGCUCCAGAGGCUUUGGGGACAGGAGGCAGGACUGAAGAUAUUACUUCCAGGACUACCCUUCGGACGGAUUGCCCUGCCCAUGGACUCUGGCCAGCUACCGUGUAGCUCUCAUGAGCUAGGUGUCAGAAGCUUCACGAGGAAAAGAAUUAUGCUUUGUUCCCUGUUGUUUCCUUUGUAUGGGGAUAGGAUUCAUCAGAAAAUGGUCACCUUAAGAUAUCAGGCUGUGAGUCCCCAGGAGUGGGAGUAGAUACACAUCCAUGGCUUAUAGACGUAAUGUCAUAAGUACUGCCUGGGCCCUUCCCUGGUUCCUUGCCUUUGUCUAGCUGUGUGAUUUGAACUAGUCAUACAACCCAUCUGAGCCUCAGUUACUUUAUUCACAAAAUCGGCAUCUUACCAGCUGCUCUGCCCCAAGACUAUUGACAACAACCCAAUAAAUUAGCAUCUGUUGAAAAAGUUAAAGACUGU